GAUUCCCUGCAGUGUUCGUCUGCACCGUGAAAAAGUUGAACCAACACAAUUUUUAAGGGCGCUGUUAUAUGCGCCGCCCGAGGGCGGCUUAAAAAGGCGCCCACCUGGAGAAUGGGUUCAGGUUUAUCACGGCAGCAACGGCAUAAGCGGGGAUUUU
rnacentral:other from 1 species